GCCUUGAUAGCUCAGUUGGUUAGAGCGUGGUGCUGAUCAUGCCAAGGUUGCAGGUUUGAUCCCCGUAUGGUUGGACU
rnacentral:tRNA from 1 species